UACGGGGGGGCAAGCGUUGUUCGGAAUUACUGGGCGUAAAGGGCUCGUAGGCGGCCAACUAAGUCGGAUGUGAAAUCCCCAGGCUCAACUUGGGAACUGCAUCCGAUACUGGAUGGCUUGAAUUCGGGAGAGGGAUGCAGAAUUCCAGGUGUAGCGGUGAAAUGCGUAGAUAUCUGGAGGAAUACCGGUGGCGAAGGCGGCAUCCUGGACCGACAUUGACGCUGAGGAGGCGAAAAGCUGAGGGGAGCAAACGGG
rnacentral:rRNA from 1 species